GACGAACGCUGGCGGCGUGCUUAACACAUGCAAGUCGAACGGAAAGGCCCUGCUUUUGUGGGGUGCUCGAGCGGCGAACGGGUGAGUAACACGUGAGUAACCUGCCCUUGACUUUGGGAUAACUUCAGGAAACUGGGGCUAAUACCGGAUAGGAGCUCCUGCUGCAUGGUGGGGGUUGGAAAGUUUCGGCGGUUGGGGAUGGACUCGCGGCUUAUCAGCUUGUUGGUGGGGUAGUGGCUUACCAAGGCUUUGACGGGUAGCCGGCCUGAGAGGGUGACCGGCCACAUUGGGACUGAGAUACGGCCCAGACUCCUACGGGAGGCAGCAGUGGGGAAUAUUGCACAAUGGGCGGAAGCCUGAUGCAGCAACGCCGCGUGCGGGAUGACGGCCUUCGGGUUGUAAACCGCUUUCGCCUGUGACGAAGCGUGAGUGACGGUAAUGGGUAAAGAAGCACCGGCUAACUACGUGCCAGCAGCCGCGGUGAUACGUAGGGUGCGAGCGUUGUCCGGAUUUAUUGGGCGUAAAGGGCUCGUAGGUGGUUGAUCGCGUCGGAAGUGUAAUCUUGGGGCUUAACCCUGAGCGUGCUUUCGAUACGGGUUGACUUGAGGAAGGUAGGGGAGAAUGGAAUUCCUGGUGGAGCGGUGGAAUGCGCAGAUAUCAGGAGGAACACCAGUGGCGAAGGCGGUUCUCUGGGCCUUUCCUGACGCUGAGGAGCGAAAGCGUGGGGAGCGAACAGGCUUAGAUACCCUGGUAGUCCACGCUGUAAACGGUGGGUACUAGGUGUGGGGUCCAUUCCACGGGUUCCGUGCCGUAGCUAACGCUUUAAGUACCCCGCCUGGGGAGUACGGCCGCAAGGCUAAAACUCAAAGGAAUUGACGGGGCCCCGCACAAGCGGCGGAGCAUGCGGAUUAAUUCGAUGCAACGCGUAGAACCUUACCUGGGUUUGACAUGGAUCGGGAGUGCUCAGAGAUGGGUGUGCCUCUUUUGGGGUCGGUUCACAGGUGGUGCAUGCCUGUCGUCAGCUCGUGUCGUGAGAUGUUGGGUUAAGUCCCGCAACGAGCGCAACCCUUGUUCACUGUUGCCAGCACGUUAUGGUGGGGACUCAGUGGAGACCGCCGGGGUCAACUCGGAGGAAGGUGGGGAUGACGUCAAGUCAUCAUGCCCCUUAUGUCCAGGGCUUCACGCAUGCUACAAUGGCUGGUACAGAGAGUGGCGAGCCUGUGAGGGUGAGCGAAUCUCGGAAAGCCGGUCUCAGUUCGGAUUGGGGUCUGCAACUUGACCUCAUGAAGUCGGAGUCGCUAGUAAUCGCAGAUCAGCAACGCUGCGGUGAAUACGUUCCCGGG
rnacentral:rRNA from 1 species